rnacentral:rRNA from 1 species
CAGUGGCGGUGCAGUUGCGACCGGCAGCGUAGUAAUNAUCUCUCGCUCGACGCGUCGCGCUGUGCCUGCCAGCCAACCGUGAUGAUUUCUCAUCGGUUGACCUCGGAUCAGGUAGGGAUACCCGCUGAACUUAAGCAUAUCAAUAAGCGGAGGAAAAGAAACCAACCCGGGAUUGCCUCAGUAACGGCGAGUGAAGCGGCAACAGCUCAAAUUUGAAAUCUGGCCCUCGCGGGGUCCGAGUUGUAAUUUGUAGAGGGCGUUUCGGGUGCGGUGCCGGUCUAAGUUCCUUGGAACAGGACGUCAUAGAGGGUGAGAAUCCCGUCUGCGAGUCGGCCACCAACCCCGGGUGAAACCCCUUCGACGAGUCGAGUUGUUUGGAAAUGCAGCUCAAAAUGGGUGGUAAAUUUCAUCUAAAGCUAAAUACCGGCCAGAGACCGAUAGCGCACAAGUAGAGUGAUCGAAAGAUGAAAAGCACUUUGGAAAGAGAGUUAAAAAGUACGUGAAAUUGUUGAAAGGGAAGCGCUUGCGACCAGACCUGCCCCCGGGCCAUCAUCCGCCAUUCGUGGCGGUGCACUCGCCCGGAUGCAGGCCAGCAUCGGUUCGGGCGGCGGGACAAAGGACUCGGGAACGUAGCUCUCUCCGGGGAGCCUUAUAGCCCGGGUUGUCAUGCCGCCCGCCUGGACCGAGGACCGCGCUUCGGCUAGGAUGCUGGCGUAAUGGUCGUAAGCGACC